rnacentral:tRNA from 1 species
GGUGGCUCAGUGGUAGAGCGCUUGCCUUGCAUCCAUGAGGCCCUGGGUUCAAUUCCUAACACCA